AUUGAACGCUGGCGGCAGGCCUAACACAUGCAAGUUGAGCGGUAACACAGGGAGCUUGCUCAUGGGUGACGAGCGGCGGACGGGUGAGUAAUGUCUGGGAAACUGCCUGAUGGAGGGGGAUAUCUACCGGAAACGGUAGCUAAUACCGCAUAACGUCGCAAGACCAAAGAGGGGGACCUUCGGGCCUCUUGCCAUCAGAUGUGUCAAGACGGGAUUAGCUAGUAGGUGGGGUAAUGGCUCACCUAGGCGACGAUCCCUAGCUGGUCUGAGAGGAUGACCAGCCACAGUAGAACUGAGACACGGUCCAGACUCCUACGGGAGGCAGCAGUGGGGAAUAUUGCACAAUGGGCGCAAGCCUGAUGCAGCCAUGCCGCGUGUAUGAAGAAGGCCUUCGGGUUGUAAAGUACUUUCAGCGGGGAGGAAGGUGUUGAGGUUAAUAACCUCAGCAAUUGACGUUACCCGCAGAAGAAGCACCGGCUAACUCCGUGCCAGCCGCCGCUGUAAAAC
rnacentral:rRNA from 1 species